ACCGGAGUCUUCUUUAAUAACCACUCAGAGACUGCCUGUCAGUUGACCUACUAAUGCCAGCCACAAGACACUGCUUGGAAGGAUCUGAGGUAUCAGAAAAACUGGUGGAAAAGCACCAUCCUAGGUGUGAUGACAGCAUUGUGGUUAUGCAGAACACAGGUUCAUGUUCUGAGGAGAAGCAUCUGGGGGACGUGCCACGAUAGCUGCAAGUUCCAAAUGGCCCAACAAAAAACAAAAAGGAAUAAAAAAUUGUGGCAAAGGUAA